CGAAGGAUGCAAGCGUUAUCCGGAUUUAUUGGGUUUAAAGGGAGCGUAGGCGGUCUUAUGAGUCAGUGGUGAAAUCUCGUUGCUUAACAACGACCGUGCCAUUGAUACUGUAGGACUUGAGUACAGUUGCCGUUGGCGGAAUGUGUCAUGUAGCGGUGAAAUGCAUAGAUAUGACACAGAACACCGAUUGCGAAGGCAGCUGACGAAACUGUAACUGACGCUGAGGCUCGAAAGCGUGGGGAUCAAACAGGAUUAGAUACCCUGGUAGUCCACGCCCUAAACUAUGAUUACUCGCUGUCGGCGAUAUACAGUCGGUAGCUAAGCGAAAGCGUUAAGUAAUCCACCUGGGGAGUACGCCCGCAAGGGUG
rnacentral:rRNA from 1 species